GACGAACGCUGGCGGCGUGCUUAACACAUGCAAGUCGAACGGAAAGGCCCUUCGUGGUGCUCGAGUGGCGAACGGGUGUGUAACACGUGGGUGAUCUUCCCUGCACUUUGGGAUAGGCCUGGGAAACUGGGACUACUUCCGAAUAGGACCAUGGCCUUCAUGGGUGGUGGUGGAAAGCUCUUGCGGUGUGGGAUGGGCCCGGGGCCUAUCAGGUUGUUGGUGGGGUAAUGGUCUACCAAGGCGACGACGGGUAGCCGGCCUGAGAGGGUGACCGGCCACACUGGGACUGAGAUACGGCCAAGACUCCUACGGGAGGCAGCAGUGGGGAAUAUUGGACAAUGGGCGCAAGCCUGAUGCAGCGACGCCGCGUGAGGGAUGACGGCCUUCGGGUUGUAAACCUCUUUCAGUAGGGACGAAGCGCAAGUGACGGUACCUAUAGAAAAAGGACCGGCCAACUACGUGCCAGCAGCCGCCGUAAUAC
rnacentral:rRNA from 1 species